CGCCUGUUUAUCAAAAACAUCUUUUCUUGUUAGUUUUUGAAGUAUGGCCUGCCCGCUGACUUUGGUGUUGAAGGGCCGCGGUAUUUUGACCGUGCAAAGGUAGCAUAGUCAUUAGUUCUUUAAUUGUGAUCUGGUAUGAAUGGCUUGACGAGGCAUGGGCUGUCUUAAUUUUAAAUUGCUUAUUGAAUUUGGUCUUUGAGUUAAAAUUCUUAGAUGUUUUUAUGGGACGAGAAGACCCUAUAGAGUUUGACAUUUAUUAUGGUCUCUUUCUGUUUGUGAGGGUUCACUGGGCCAUUUAGUAUGUUUUGUUGGGGUGAUGGGAGGGAUAUAAUUUAACCCCUCCUUUGUGUUGUUAUAUUUAUUUAUAUUUGUUUGAUCCAUUUAUUUUGAUUGUAAGAUUAAAUUACCUUAGGGAUAACAGCGUAA
rnacentral:rRNA from 1 species